CCUACGGGAGGCAGCAGUGGGGAAUCUUGCGCAAUGGGCGAAAGCCUGACGCAGCAACGCCGCGUGCGGGAAGAAGGCUUUCGGGCUGUAAACCGCUUUCAGCAGGAACGAAAAUGACGGUACCUGCAGAAGAAGGAGCGGCCAACUAUGUGCCAGCAGCCGCGGUGAUACAUAGGCUUCAAGCGUUGUCCGGAUUUAUUGGGCGUAAAGAGUUCGUAGGCGGUCAAGUAAGUCGGGUGUGAAAAUUCUGGGGCUCAACCCAGAGACGCCACCCGAUACUGCUUAACUUGAGUUCGAUAGGGGAGUGGGGAAUUCCUAGUGUAGCGGUGAAAUGCGCAGAUAUUAGGAGGAACACCGGUGGCGAAGGCGCCACUCUGGAUCGAUACUGACGCUGAGGAACGAAAGCAUGGGUAGCAAACAGGAUUAGAUACCCUGGUAGUCCAUGCCGUAAACGGUGGGCACUAGGUNUGGGUUUCCUAUUAACGAAAUCCGCGCCGUCGCUAACGCAUUAAGUGCCCCGCCUGGGGGAGGUACGGUCGCGACGAACGUAAACGUUAAAGGUAAGUUAGACGGCGUGAGACGNGACGACGGACGACGACGAGGGAGGAGG
rnacentral:rRNA from 1 species